rnacentral:rRNA from 1 species
GACGAACGCUGGCGGCGUGCUUAACACAUGCAAGUCGAACGGAAAGGCCCUGCUUUUGUGGGGUGCUCGAGUGGCGAACGGGUGAGUAACACGUGAGUAACCUGCCCUUGACUUUGGGAUAACUUCAGGAAACUGGGGCUAAUACCGGAUAGGAGCUCCUGCUGCAUGGUGGGGGUUGGAAGUUUCGGCGGUUGGGGAUGGACUCGCGGCUUAUCAGCUUGUUGGUGGGGUAGUGGCUUACCAAGGCUUUGACGGGUAGCCGGCCUGAGAGGGUGACCGGCCACAUUGGGACUGAGGUACGGCCCAGACUCCUACGGGAGGCAGCAGUGGGGAAUAUUGCACAAUGGGCGGAAGCCUGAUGCAGCAACGCCGCGUGCGGGAUGACGGCCUUCGGGUUGUAAACCGCUUUCGCCUGUGACGAAGCGGGAGUGACGGUAAUGGGUAAAGAAGCACCGGCUAACUACGUG